rnacentral:lncRNA from 1 species
AAAAAUCCUGACAGGUAUUCUGCAAAGGGCCCUGUGUAGCAAUGUAAUCCCACUCUAUGCCACCAACAGAGAUCUUGAUAUGAGAUGCAUUGAUGUAACCCGUGUUAUUUUCUUUGGUUGGGACUAGUUCUACUCUGGUAUCAUCAUAAGGGAGGACGUCCUGGAAUCGGUUUCUCUCAGCAUUUUCAGGAAGCCGAGCUAUUGAGCACUCACCAUCUAUAAGCCUUUUCUUCUGAAUGCGCUCAUACUCAGUAAAUACCAUCCCCUGCUCUAACCGUUGUUCAAGAACUUUACACCGUUCAUCAUUUGUUGCUCUUGUUGAUUCCUCUUUCCCCUCAUCUGGCAGAGGCAUUCUAGCCAAAGUUAGUCCAUUUAGGGCAGCAAGCUUUAGAGGCCCUAUUUUUUUUGCAUCAGUUUUAU